UCGAGCGAACGGACGAGAAGCUUGCUUCUCUGAUGUUAGCGGCGGACGGGUGAGUAACACGUGGAUAACCUACCUAUAAGACUGGGAUAACUUCGGGAAACCGGAGCUAAUACCGGAUAAUAUUUUGAACCGCAUGGUUCAAAAGUGAAAGACGGUCUUGCUGUCACUUAUAGAUGGAUCCGCGCUGCAUUAGCUAGUUGGUAAGGUAACGGCUUACCAAGGCAACGAUGCAUAGCCGACCUGAGAGGGUGAUCGGCCACACUGGAACUGAGACACGGUCCAGACUCCUACGGGAGGCAGCAGUAGGGAAUCUUCCGCAAUGGGCGAAAGCCUGACGGAGCAACGCCGCGUGAGUGAUGAAGGUCUUCGGAUCGUAAAACUCUGUUAUUAGGGAAGAACAUAUGUGUAAGUAACUGUGCACAUCUUGACGGUACCUAAUCAGAAAGCCACGGCUAACUACGUGCCAGCAGCCGCGGUAAUACGUAGGUGGCAAGCGUUAUCCGGAAUUAUUGGGCGUAAAGCGCGCGUAGGCGGUUUUUUAAGUCUGAUGUGAAAGCCCACGGCUCAACCGUGGAGGGUCAUUGGAAACUGGAAAACUUGAGUGCAGAAGAGGAAAGUGGAAUUCCAUGUGUAGCGGUGAAAUGCGCAGAGAUAUGGAGGAACACCAGUGGCGAAGGCGACUUUCUGGUCUGUAACUGACGGCUGAUGUGCGAAAGCGUGGGGAUCAAACAGGAUUAGAUACCCUGGUAGUCCACGCCGUAAACGAUGAGUGCUAAGUGUUAGGGGGUUUCCGCCCCUUAGUGCUGCUAGCUAACGCUAUUAAGCUACU
rnacentral:rRNA from 1 species